ACUAGCAAGUGAUGAAGUGACUUAUCAUUGAGAAGGAGAAGGAUGAGGAGAGACUCAUACCUAUCCAGUAUAUCUGGGAGAGGUAAGAUCAACCAUUGCCAUAUUCCCAAACCUUUGUUGUUAGCUGAAUGC